CCUACGGGUGGCAGCAGUGGGGAAUCUUUCACAAUGGGGGAAACCCUGAUGCAGCGACGCCGCGUGAGUGAAGAAGUAAUUCGUUAUGUAAAGCUCUAUCAGCAGGGAAGAAAAUGACGGUACCUGAGGAAUAAGCCCCGGCUAACUACGUGCCAGCAGCCGCGGUAAUACGUAGGGGGCGAGCGUUAUCCGGAGUGACUGGGUGUAAAGGGAGCUAAGAAGGGAGUGCAAGUCUGGAGGGAAAGGCGGGGGCUCAACCCCCGGACUGUUCUGGAAACUGUACGGCUGGAGUGCAGGAGAGGUAAGUGGAAUUCCUAGUGUAGCGGUGAAAUGCGUAGAUAUUAGGAGGAACACCAGUGGCGAAGGCGGCUUACUGGACUGUAACUGACGUUGAGGCUCGAAAGCGUGGGGAGCAAACAGGAUUAGAUACCCGAGUAGUC
rnacentral:rRNA from 1 species